UACGUAGGGGGCUAGCGUUGUCCGGAAUCAUUGGGCGUAAAGCGCGCGUAGGCGGUUACUUAAGUCGAAUGUGAAAGCCCUCGGCUUAACCGAGGAAGUGCAUCCGAAACUGAGUAGCUAGAGUACGAAAGAGGGUCGCGGAAUUCCCGGUGUAGAGGUGAAAUUCGUAGAUAUCGGGAGGAACACCGGUGGCGAAGGCGGCGACCUGGGUCGAGACUGACGCUGAGGCGCGAAAGCGUGGGGAGCAAACAGG
rnacentral:rRNA from 1 species